AUCACUGUACAGCUCAAUCAUUCAGUACACAAUUAUGGAGCACAAAAUCUUGGGAUUCACAGUACUGUUGCUGGCUUCUCAAUAUUGUUGGUGUCAAACACUGACUGAGUCUGAGUCUGUAGUCAUGAAACCUGGAGAAUCCCAUAAGUUGGCAUGUACUGCUUCUGGUUUUAACUUUGCUGGCUCCUGGAUGGCUUGGAUCAGACAGAAGUCUGGAAAAGAGCUGGAAUGGCUGGCAUGGAUCAAAUAUGAUAGCCAGGAAAUGUAUUACUCUCAGUCUGUCCAAGGACGGUUCACCAUCUCCAGAGACAACAGUAGGGAGCAGGUGUAUCUGCAGAUGAACAGCCUGAAGAAUGAAUUUUGCUCAUUUUGGGUUUCAAUGCAAAUGAGCUGA